AAAGAAAAGCAAAUUUGUCCUGCCCGAAAAAAGCGAGCCGCCCCCCCCCCGUUCCCCCGAGGCGCCCCCCCCCCAUCCGAUGAAGGAGGGCCAAUGCCAGUUAACCUAAGCAAAGGGGGCCCACCGGGGCGCAGAGCCAAAGCCUGUAUUAGUGCCGGCCAUUGCAAUCCGUGCAUCAAGUUAAAAUCCACUACGUGAACGCAAUCAUGGCCUUCAAAAGCCUCGAGAAUCGCUUGAUUCGCGGUGAAAUGAGCGAACUUCAAGUACGGACAAGCCUCGUAAUAAUGAUGGUACAAAAUUUCAUUCUCAUAAGUGUAGCAAGAACCAACGCCGCUAAUUGAACCCGCCGGAGCGAAAAUCCGGCGACUCAGAGCAUUAAUGAAGUAACCGGCCACUUUGCCAAUGCCGCAGCCGGUGUUGACACGCGUCAACAGUCCCUGCAUAUUCUCGAUUAAAGAGGCAGCCAAUGCUAGCUCGCCACGCUGGACGGACUCUGCACACGUCAUCAACAUAUGGACGAGCCUUAUCGCGGAAUCCUCCUCCAGGGCGGUUACGACCAUCAGCUGAUUCUGUUGGUGUUGAGAGAUAUUCUGAUUCUGCUGCUGAGACAAAGAGUGUUCCAUCCCCCAGGAGCUAUCGAGAGCCGUUGAAUUGGGAACCAGAUCCGAGAGAUCGGAGGGGAGAGAAGGGAGAGGCUGAGAUUGGUUAAGCUCGGAAAGGAGCGAGUCGACCCAUGUAGACAGAUCAGAGGGGUUGUAAAGGACGGCGUCAGAGGCAAGGAGGGAAAGUUGGUGGGAAGGGGAGUUAAGCAUGGCCGUUUCAAGGCGUUCGAGACGCUGGGCCACAUGCCGGAGCUCAGAAGACGGAACCUUGUAGCCGGCACCGGCGAGCAAGCCAUCUAUCUGCGGAGGUUUAGUGAUAGAGGAUGAUGAACUGGGAGCGCUUCCAGCUAAGCCAUCGGAGU
rnacentral:misc_RNA from 1 species